rnacentral:rRNA from 1 species
GAUGAACGCUAGCUACAGGCUUAACACAUGCAAGUCGAGGGGCAGCAUGAUCUAGCAAUAGGUUGAUGGCGACCGGCGCACGGGUGAGUAACACGUAUCCAACCUGCCGAUUAUUCCGGGAUAGCCUUUCGAAAGAAAGAUUAAUACUGGAUAGCAUAACGAGAAGGCAUCUUCUUGUUAUUAAAGAAUUUCGAUAAUCGAUGGGGAUGCGUUCCAUUAGUUUGUUGGCGGGGUAACGGCCCACCAAGACAUCGAUGGAUAGGGGUUCUGAGAGGAAGGUCCCCCACAUUGGAACUGAGACACGGUCCAAACUCCUACGGGAGGCAGCAGUGAGGAAUAUUGGUCAAUGGACGAGAGUCUGAACCAGCCAAGUAGCGUGAAGGAUGACUGCCCUAUGGGUUGUAAACUUCUUUUAUAUGGGAAUAAAGUGGGCCACGUGUGGCUUUUUGUAUGUACCAUACGAAUAAGGAUCGGCUAACUCCGUG